GCCAGGUGUGGUGGCACGUAUCUGUAGUCCCAGCUAUUUGGGAGGCUGAGGCUGGAGGAUCUCUUGAGCCCAGGAGUUCUGGGCUGUAGUGCACUAUGCUGAUCGGGUAUCCACACUAAGUUCAGCAUCAAUAUGAUGACCUCCUGGGAGUGGGGGACCACCAGGUUGCCAAAGGAGGGGUGAACUGGCCCAGGUCGGAAACAGAGCAGGUCAAAACUCCCAUGCUGAUCAGUAGUGGGAUCGUGCCUGUGAAGGGCCACUGCACUCCAGCCUGGGCAACAUAUCAAGAUCCUGUCUCUU
ensembl:misc_RNA Metazoa_SRP Metazoan signal recognition particle RNA